rnacentral:tRNA from 1 species
GCCUCAGUAGCCCAGUGGUAGAGCAGCUGACUUGUAAUCAGCAGGUCGGGGGUUCAAGUCCCUCCUGAGGCU